GACGAACGCUGGCGGCGUGCCUAAUACAUGCAAGUAGAACGCUGAAGGAGGAGCUUGCUCUUCUGGAUGAGUUGCGAACGGGUGAGUAACGCGUAGGUAACCUGCCUGGUAGCGGGGGAUAACUAUUGGAAACGAUAGCUAAUACCGCAUAAGAGUAGAUGUUGCAUGACAUUUGCUUAAAAGGUGCAAUUGCAUCACUACCAGAUGGACCUGCGUUGUAUUAGCUAGUUGGUGGGGUAACGGCUCACCAAGGCGACGAUACAUAGCCGACCUGAGAGGGUGAUCGGCCACACUGGGACUGAGACACGGCCCAGACUCCUACGGGAGGCAGCAGUAGGGAAUCUUCGGCAAUGGACGGAAGUCUGACCGAGCAACGCCGCGUGAGUGAAGAAGGUUUUCGGAUCGUAAAGCUCUGUUGUAAGAGAAGAACGAGUGUGAGAGUGGAAAGUUCACACUGUGACGGUAGCUUACCAGAAAGGGACGGCUAACUACGUG
rnacentral:rRNA from 1 species